rnacentral:lncRNA from 1 species
CUUGAAAUUAAAGGCACGAAAGAAAGAAAGAACGAUGACUUUGUAUUACAUGCCACACAUGGAACAGCUAACAAUCCUCUCAGUACAAAACUAAUGUUUCUGGCAUUUGAAUCAAGAAAUACAGUGUCAGAUCAAGACAUGUCAAAUUCAUCAUUUAAUUGUCUCCCUAGCUCUGCUUCAAGUUUCACAUGAGAAUACAAGAGAAAUUGCAAUGAACAAGCAAAGAGAUACCUUCAAUGUAGCACCAUGCUCGUACAAUCUGAAACACAAAUACAUGACAGACUAUGAAUUUUGGUGCUCAUAUUCACUUAACUGCUCUCAUCAGCCAGCCAGCCAGCAAAGAUGAAAAUCAACUCAUGCACACACAUUUAAGAAGAAAAUACUUCAAAACUUUGAAAACUAAACCAAAGAAAAUAAACCCUUUUAACAAGCUUGCCAAUCAAACACAAUCACAUAUACUAUAUGGCAACUUGAGCAAUCAGAGAACUUUGAAGACCAGUUUGGUAUGGAAUUCCACAUCAAAUUCAGUAAUACAAAUCUCAUCAUCUUGCACACAGAGACAUACAAACUAUUAAUUUUGGAUAUAGCAAAGCAAUCAGAGAACUUUGAAGGCAUGAUAUGAGGUUCUACAUCAAAUUCAGAUAUAUAAAAAAUUCUAGUUUCAUCAUUUUGCUCUGCCAUUCUUCAAUUUUUGAACUUUCCUGCUUUUGGGCAAAACUUAGUUGUGCAAGAGAAAGCACUCUAAUUCACUGCACAACUGAUGCCAAAGUUUCAAUUUUGCACCGACCCUUUGCUCGAAAUUUCCCUGCGACUAUAUUUCCAAGAAGCAGGGGGCUAACUGGUGCAUUACAAUGAAAUAAUUCCAAGAUAAUACUUGAUAAUGAAAAUCCCAGUAAAAUCCAUACAAUAAUUACAAAAAAAGAUAAAAGGAAGUAAAGGAUACACAUCCGUAACGAGAUGCUUGGUAUCCAUCAGUUUAUAGUUCGCUUUUUUUUUUUCAGAUUUGUACUCGUGAGUGAAAUCAGAUGUAGGCCAAAGAGAGAAUUUUAUAGGGGGCUUGGGAUUUUAGGGUUUCUAUG